UUGCUGUGUUGACCAGGCUCACCUGGAACCUGUAAUCCUGUCUCAAUCCUGCAACUGUUGGGUUAUGAUUGUGUGUUACUAUGCCUAGCUCAUUCAAUUAUCCUAAUAAAUCAAUAAAUAUCUUAAUAAAAUAUUUAAAAAUACUGAUUCUACUAGGAAAGUUGUAACACUAAUACAUGAGUCUGCACUAGCACAAGAUAAAGACAAUUAUGCUUCCCCUUUCUUCUUGAGACAGGGUUGUGCUGUAUAAAAGAGACUAGCCCCAACAUUGCUAAGUAAUCCAGGGUGGCUUCAAACUCAUGAUCGAUCCUCUGCGUCACCCUCCAAAGGGCCAAAAUUACAGGUCUGGAUUAUUACACUGCAUUGACCUCUGUGCUCUUGUAGUGGAAAGCUAGUAAAAGUAAUCAGAAGGACAGCAAUACCAUGAGGCCAGGGCUCCCUGACAUGUGCUUGUCAUCCCAGGGAGAGGCUGGAGCACCAAGAGUUUGCUGCCAUCCUUGCCUGCACACUGAGUUUGAAACCAGCCUGGGCUACUUGAGACCCUGGCUCAAAGAACCAAAAAGACAAUGAUAGAAACAGAAAAAUAAAACAAAACUUUACAAUAGGAGCAGCAAACAUGACAUAUUUAGAAGUAAACUGGAUACAAAUGUUUCCCAUCUGUACACUAAACACUACAAACAAUGAGAGGGAUUAGAGAAGACCCCAGGGGGAGUGCACUGUGUUCACAGACAGGAGAGUCAACAUGUGUCUUCAUAAUUUCAAUUUCAACCAAAUGUUUGUCAGUCUUCUUGUGGACACUCUCAAGUCUGUUAUAAUAUUCUGCUUUAAUUUUCUUUUCCUUUCUUUUUUUUUUAUCCUUUUUGUUUUCCUUUUUGAGACAAGUCUUACUAUAUAGCUUCGGCUGGUCUAGAACUCAUGGUAAAUACCUUGCUUUAGUCUGAGUGCUGGGAUUUUAGACAUGUGCCACCUUGCCCAGAUAUAGAACAAUAUUGAGAGAGAAAACACUGAAGCACACACCCUCCUUAUGUUAACAGAAAGGUCCACAGGACCUAGAAGCACACACACGCCCAUCUGGCCAGCUCACUUGCUUUGCUUUCCCUUGGAGUCUGACCCAGUGCCGUGUACACAGUGGCAACCACUCCACAACUGAGCCCCAUUUCUAGCUCCCCGAGUCUUAAACAAGUUUAUUUCGUUUUUAUUUUAUGUGUCUGGGUGUUUUGACUGCAUGUCUGUCUGUGCACCACAUGAAUCCUUGGCACCCAUGUAGGCCAAAAGAGGGCAUCAGAUUGCCUAGAACUGGAGUUGCAGAGAGCUGUAAGCUGUCCAGUGGGUGCUGUGAUGUGAGCCUGGGUCCUCUACAAGAGCAGCCACUGCUCUUAACUGCUGAGCUAUCUCUCUAGUCCCACAGUAUCUACCUUUUGCUAUUGUGAGUAAAGCUUCUAAGAACAUUUAUCUUUCUUUUCUGUUUUUAUCUCUCUUUGAUAAAUUCCUAAGGUAGAAUUGUUGCCUGUUUUCCAAAGUAAUGGUAACCAUCCCUCUUCCCACCAACAGUAGCUGAGAAGUGCGGCUGUCUCACAUCUUGGUUGUCAUUUGGUACUGUCAGUCUUCACUUGGGCAUUCUAGUGGGUGAGAGCUCAUGGUGGUUUAAGUUCAUGUUCUUGAGGAAUAAUUCACAUACUGAGCACUAUUUAAAUUGUAUAGUGACAUUUUACAUAUAUUCCUCUGUGAAGUAACUCAUAAAGUCUUUUACUCGGCUUUUAAUAGGUGGCUUUUAUUUUAUUUAUUUAUUUAUUUUUGGUUCUUUUUUUCAGAGCUGGGGACCAAACCCAGGGCCUUGCGCUUCCUAGGUAAGCGUUCUACCACUGAGCUAAAUCCCCAGCCCCGGCUUUUAUUUUUAUAUUAUUGACUGGUAGAUGCUCUUUAUAUAUUAUGAUAUAUUAUAUAUUCUAAUGUAUUAAGAUGUGUGUGUAUGACACAUAUUUUAUCCCAUCUGACAUCUCUUGAUUUCUUUCUUCCUCUGUCCCUUUUCUUUCCUUGAAAAGAGUUCAACAAAGUGUCAUGUGUCCCAGGUUAAACGGAAACUUGAUGUGUAUUUGAGGACUGAACUAUCAAUUCUCCUGCCUCUAUUUCUGGAGUGCUGAGAUUGUGUUGCUGUGGAUCAAACUCAUGAUCUUAUGUGUGGUAGAGUGGCAAGCACUCUACCACCUGAGCCACAUCUCCAGCCUUUGUAUCUUAUUUAAUGAUCUUAUUAAGCAGAAACUUUUUUAAGAUAGCAAACUUUACUACAAACAUAAAGAAACGGGAGCUUUCACACAUGUAGUUAAUGGGAAUGUAAAAUAAUAGAGCCACAGUCUAGCCGUUUUGUGAAACAUAGAAACGUCAUGACCCAGUCUUCCCCUCCUACAUACGCACCAAGAUAAAGACAUUCACAGACACCUGUUUGCCAUGUUCACAAUAGCAUUGUUUAUGACAGCCAAGAAGUGGACACAACCUAGUGUCUAGGUGAAUGGCAUAAUCAUUCAGAGGCAUGCAGUACUGAUCUGUGUUCUGACAUGGCUAAAACCUUUAAAGUACUAAAUAAAGGAACUCAGAAACCGACUCUCUGCAUUAUAUGGUUCCAUCUAUAGGAGUAUCCAUGACAGACAUUAGCCAAAUGGGCAGUAAGCCAAUGGGCAGUUAUAUAAAUCUGGGAGGUAGUAGGUAGGGAGAAAAGUGUGUUACUGAAAUGUACACGAGCUUUGUUCCCUGAAGGAGGCGGCUUUAAAAAAAGCACUAAACUGAGGCUGAGGAGACGCCUGAGUUGGCAAAUGCUUGCUGUGUAAGCAUGAAGACCUGAGCAGAUCCCACACCCAGGUAAUAAGCUACUACGGCUGCCUGUGCCUACAAUCCCACACUGGGGAUGUAGAGCUAGGAGGAUCCCUGUGGGAUCAUUGCCAGCCGUCAUGGCUGUAUCAGUGACCUUCAGGUCCAGGGAGGGACCCUGCCCGAAACUGUAAGGAUGAUGGAGAAAGAUACCUGAUAGCAACCUCUAGCUUUCAACACACACACACACACACACACACACACACACACACACACACACACGCUGAAGAGUCCCUGAGUUUCAUUUAAACUGCACUUCCUAGCAAUUUGAGCUUGAGAAAGUUAAUCCAAAUGGGCUGUUGUGAGGAUUGAGUGAUUAAAUAAAUGCACUUAGAAUGGUGGUUUAGAGCAGUUACUGUGGCCUAACAAUAAUCCUGAUUCCUGUGUAUCUCAAGGUCUUUCUCAUUCAUCUAGCAAUGAUUUAGAGCAGUUACUGUGGCCUAACAAUAAUCCUGACUCCUGUGUAUCUCAAAGUCUUUCUCGUUCGUCUAGUUUUACUUGGUUUUCCAGUACACACUUUGUUUCAGCAGAAUAAGCAAACAAAUCAAAUAAAAAAUCUUGAAUUCCCUGUCUCCAAGUGUCCCCUUACAGGACGAAUGGAAGAACUCUGAUGCUGUUAUGAAGCUGUUCUCUCUAGGAACACAGCAUCCCUCCCACCUGCCCAGGCUGUCUUCAGAUUCCUCAGAACUCUCUGGACUCCCCUCACUCCCUUCUUGGAGCUCCUGGAUAGCUUUCUCCCUCGCCGUCUUGUCCUCUUACUUCUUUUGAAGUCACCCAGGCCAGCCUUUCCCUUCUGAUGUCCCUGUGCCAGCCUUGCCAGUAGGGGAUGAGAGGUAUGUGCUGCUGUGCUUGGCUACUGUACCCAGUUUUGCUUCUGAAAACAAAGUCUUCUCUUGUUCGUUGAUAUGAAUGCUAUUUUCUUCAAAAACAAAACAAUGCAGUUGGUUUUAGUAUACUCUGACCUUGUAGGAUUUUAAUAUUUCUAAUAGAUUUCAGUUUGAUUCCAGGUGAGUUAUCAAUCACAUCACCUUUGGUUAUAUAAUUUCCUCUUUUCCUUUCAAAAUUUUUAUGCCUCAUUUAUUUCUGCUGCCUAAUUAUUAUUACCUUCAGAAAAUGCAAUCUAGCGGAAGCAAAUAGGAAACACUGGAAUUGGUUUUAUAAGUAUAUUGAGAUAUCUAUCUCAUUUCUUCCAUCUGAAAGAAGAACAUGAUAAAAAAUUGUUUUAAGAUGACUUUAAGAUAUAUUUACAUAUUUUUGAUUCAUAAGAAAAAAUACAUGAAAAAAAAGGUUCUCCAAAACCGUGUGUUCAAAGGCAGGGGAGAUGUCUCGAUGCGUAAAGUGCAGGCUAUGAGAGCAGAACAACCUAAGUUUGAGUCCUCAGAACCCGUGGAAAGCUGGGUAUGGGGGCUCAGGCAUCUGUAACUCUAGUGCUGCAAGAGACAGACAGGAGAAUCCCUAGAAGCUCGCUGCUGGCAUACACAGCAGUGAACAGCAAACCCGGGAUUAAACACAGCGGAAGGUGACCACACCUGAGAUGGUCCUCUGACCUUUCAAGCAUGCCGUGACCCACACAGAGAUGACAAUGUGCCUGUAGCAUACGCUUUAGCAUGUCAUGAGAAUAAUCCAUGGACAUCCUAGCUGUGGUGGGUGGCACCUGACUGGCUGGCAGUAGGUGGCAUGUGUGUGGUGCCGGCUCUGCUUCAUUUCAUUCUCUGCACUGCUCCUUUUCUACAACAAGCAGAUGUCAUCCAGAUGAUCAGAAAAACAUAAGCAAACAGGAGGAAAGGAAUGCAUGGAGGAAGUGGUGCAGAACUUGGGUCUUGGUGCUUUAGGUCCCUAUGGUCACACUGUGCUGACUCAAGCCAGCUUUGUGACCUGCUUCAGAAAUGCUUUAUCUAUGACUUCCAUGUGGCUGUGCAGCCUCCAGUGUAAUCCUAGAUGACGACACUGCUCUUCUGCUCCUCUUUUCUCUGAAUCCAGAUGUUCUUUAACAGUUCCCACCAUCAGAUCUCUGUCUAGAUAACCAGGCAGCCAUACAUCUUUUUGAUUCUUCUCUCAAAUCUCUUAAGUACAUAUGUCUUUUUCCUGGCCCAGGCUUCUCCCACAAGUCCCUGGACUGACCUGGACUGUGCCAUGAGAAAAACUGUUUUCUAGUACUCUUGAGCACUAACUUUCCUUGAGCAAAUACUUGCUAAAAGUUUGUGCUGCUCAGCUGUCUCUCAAGGAAUGCUGUCCCUGCCAGGACAUGAGUGUGCAUUCUAGAAGCACAGCAUUGAAUCCUCAAGGGACUCCUCAAAUCACACUGACCAGCUUGAUCAUGCCUUGUAGCUCCUAAACUCAGCUGCAGGCUCUUGGCUACUUAGGUAGUCAGACCAUCUCCUUGCCCAUCCAGACCUUGUGCCAGACUCCUUAUGAAAGAUGCCCAGGCAUUUUCUAUUCUCAGAUCUCCACACUAACUCACUGCUCCAAACCCUAACUCUCAGCAGACACUCUGACUUUAUGUAAGGGCUAAAGCCAUCAAAUUUCUUCCUUCCUUCCUUCCUUCCUUCCUUCCUUCCUUCCUUCCUUCCUUCCUUCCUUGCCUCCCUCCCUCCUCCCUCUCCUCUCUCUCUCUCUCUCUCUCUCUCUCUCUCUCUCUCUCUCUCUCUCUCCUUUUGUUUUGUUUGUCUUUUGAGAUAGGGUAGUCUGGGCUAUCCUGGAGCUCCCUCUAUAGUUCAAGCUGGCCUUGAACUCAGAGAUCUGCCUGUCUCUGCCUCUCAAGUGCUGGGAUUAAAGGUGUGUGUCACCACAGUGCCCAGUUCUUUCUUUCUUCCGUCCUUUCUAAGUUUUUUUUUUUAAAGUGUGUGUCUCUCUCUCUGUGUGUGUGUGUGUGUGUGUGUGUGUGUGUGUGUAGGUGCCUGCCUUUGAAGUCAGAAGAGGAUGUUCGUAUUCCUUAGAAUUGGAACUGAACCCUAGUCCUCUAAAGAGCAGCAAGCCUUAACUACUGAGCCAUGUCUAGAGUCCCUCUCUGAUUUCUCAAGUCGAUUCCAUCAGCCCCUCAACAUCUGUUGUCCAUCUUCUACAACCUAGUUAACAGCAUUUCCUCUUUCACUUUCUUUUCCUCUUGCCUUUAUAUCCAUUUUUUCUCCUUUGUAAUAAUUUCUUGUGGUCUACAGGGAGAACAAGCAAACGCAUGUUUUUUACUUUUACCAGUGGUCUGUAAUUAUUUACAUGGUGCUUUCUUUUCAACUAGACUGUGAACUCUUUGUAAACAAAAUUAUAUUCUCCAUAUCCUUUUUUACAUCAGCACCUCCAGUAAGAUCUGGCCCAGAGGAUGCACCCUAUAGCAUCCUGAAUGAACAAAUAGAUGAAUAAAUGGGCUCUUUGCAUGCCUUUCAUUCAACACAGCGCUUUGAACAUUAAAGAACUUAAUACACAUAUAAAUUCAAAACCAAAAGCUUUAUGACUUUGAAACAGAGUUCUCUGAAGGACUAGUUUGCCCAACAGUUUACUUCAGUACAGUAUAGCAUAUGUACUAGGAAAAGGAAAACUUGAGUCUGUGACUUGAAAAGUCUCAAUUUAAAUUGUUAUCAUUUAGUUUUGAGACAGGAUCUCACUAUGUAGCCCUAGCUGACCUGGAAUUCAUAAUGUAGACCAGGCUUGCCUCAACUCAUUCUUCUAAGAACUGGGAUUAAAGGUCUAUGUCACCACACCCAACCUUAAUGCAUUUUUCUUUCUUUUUUUUUUUUUUUUGGUUCUUUUUUUCGGAGCUGGGGACUGAACCCAGGGCCUUGCGCUUCCUAGGCAAGCGCUCUACCGCUGAGAUAAAUCCCCAGCCCCUGCACUUUUCUUAAAUAAAAAUUUUGCCCCUCCUUGCUCCCCUGCCCUGCUUUUGAUUGUUCCAGUAGGCUAAAGCAUAGACAGUAACUAUAAGUCAAGAAACUUAAAAAAAAAGCCCCGGCUGACUUGAGAAGCAAAUAUGAUAGCUCACAUGGACAAAGGCAUCCUCCAUAGACUAAAACAAUGAAACAUAAAAACAGACAUAGUUCAGACAUACCUCAGAGUUGACAUGCAGAAAAACUUAAUUUUUGAAAUAUAUCAAAAUAAAGAUAUCUCAUGAAUCAACUUUGUAAUACAGCAAGUUUCUAUACCACAAACCAUAUUUGCUUACUACUGUAAAUAUAAAUUCACAAUAAUUUACAAAAUGUAAAUUAUAAAUUUCCUCUCUGCCUUUUCAAACACAAUUAAAACUUUAGUGCUCAUGCUGCCUCAAAUGCCUUCUCUCUUUUUGAUAAGUGCUGCCUUCUUCCGUGGUCUAACCUGAACUUCCUCUUUUGUUAAUAGUACAUAUUAAUAAUACAAAAUAAUGGGCUUCACUGUGACACUUUCACACAUGUAUAUGUCCCACUUUGGUCCCAGCCAUGGUGAUACUGGCUUAUUUCACUUAAGCCCAAUGCAUUCCAGUUGUAUCAUUUUCCUGCACAUGAAGUGGCCUCAUCCUCUAUAGGUAAGCUCCCUCCACUGUGUAUGUGUACCGGGUUUCUCUACUGAUUCACAAGCCAGCACACCUCUACUAAUCCUUCCCUUGGCCCCCGUGAAUAAGCACGGUCUGCAGGAAUAGUCCACCGUUCAGUUUCAGUCCCUUCACGUGUACCAGAAAUACUACACCUGGAUCAGAUGGUAGUUCUACUUUUAGAGCUUGCUUUGUUUUGAGACUGAGCUUUGUUUAGCCUAGGCUAGAGACAAACUCUUCAGAGGGCACCUCUUCCUGUGCCUCUCAACACACAGCAUGGCACUUGCUUCCUUUAGACUGUGCCAUGUCCUGGCUGUAAGAAUCUUGGAGACUAAGCCAUAGCCUUCCUCUCCACUGCACCCCAACCUUCCUUUCUUUUAUGGCCUUCUAAUACAGGAGGGUCUCAUAGGCCAAGCUAGGCUGGUACUCUCUCUGUAGCCCAGGCUGUCCUUGAGCUUGUGAUCUUCUUGCCUCCAUUUCUAUGUGCUGGGAUUGCAACCAUGGACCGUGCCAUGUGUAGUUUACACGCCUUCUUCUCCUAUACUUUACAAUCCAUUAUAUUGUAUGGAGCAGACAGCAGACACUCAAACGUUUCUCUUUUCUUUUCUUUUCCUUUCUUUUCUUUUCUUUUUUUGAACUAGUGAUGUAACUCAUGGGGAGAGUACUUGCCUAGAAUGCAUGAAGUUCUGGCUUCAAUCCCCAGCAUGAACAUAAUGCACACCCGUGAUUCUAGCACUAAGGAGGCUGACACAGAAAAAUCAGGAAGGAAGAAUCAGGGCAUGCUAGGGUACAUGAGAUCCUGUCUCAAAAAUAUUAUUGCUCUCAGCAUAUAGCUUUAUUUUAUAGUGAUUAUCAAAAUGUAACUUUACUACAAACAACAGCAAGAAAUUCUAAUGUCUGUCACCUGUCAUUAAACCAUUAAUAACAUUUUGUAAACCUUGUUAGAAAUACUCUUGUAUAUAUAUAAAACUAUCAGGCACAAAAAUAUAUACAUUGUUAUAAAUGGUAUUUUAUCACUAUACUAUUAUGCAAGUCAAACAAUAAACACAGAUAGUGUAGUAUGUGCCUAGAAAGUUAUCUUGCAUUUUUCCCUCUCAAACUGCACAUUUCCUAAGCUUGGAUUUAUUUUGCAAGUAGAGUCAAGUGUCCUGGCACAUAUCUAUAAUCCUAGUACUUGGGAGGAUGAUCUGAGUUUAGGGUGAGCAUAUGUUACACACUGGGCUAAGGCAGGCUAAGGAAAGGGAGAGAAGAAGGAGGAAGGAAAGAAGAAGGGAAGGAAGAAAAGAGCAAAGGUGUGUUCUGAGGAAUUAUUAACCAAUUGACCUGACAAAUGAGGUUCGAAAAAUUGGAAUGACUUCUAGUUCUGUAACCACCAAAUCCGUUAUAGUUACAAAGUGCUUAAGAGCAUUUGCUCAUCUGUCUAUUUAAAAAGAUAUUAGUCACCUGGUAGUGUUUUGGGUUUUUUUUUUUUUUGAGGUGCUGGGAAUCAAACCUGGGGUCAUGCACAGGCUGGGUAUGUGCUGUCCCACUGAGCUGUCUGUCCCCAGUCAGUCCCCAGGUAGGCACUACCCCUUCCAGCAACUGUAUACUCUAUGUAUUUCCCUGAGUGUCAUCCACUAAGCUAGGCUUAGUUCCCACUGCUAGAGACAAAGCAAGUCUGAACUUUCGGGGUGUGUGUGUGUGUGUGUGUGUGUGUGUGUGUGUGUGUGUGUGGUGUGCGUGUGUAGCCCCCUCAUGCACACAGACUCUUAAGUGCCAAUGGGGAUGGCAGAGCCUACUUUGUAUGCUUUAUUCAAGAAAAUCCACCAGAUCGGGUUUUUGAGAAAUGGUGAUCUGAAGCCCUUUAGGUGCUGUUAGUCCAGAAAAGCUGCUUACAAUCCGCCAACUUUCUUCUUUUCCAUCUCCACCGAACACAAAAGUUUUCAGAAAUGUCUUUAAAAUCAGGACUCGGGGGAAAGAACAGGGCAGGAAUCCUUGGCUUCAACAGCCGGCUUCAAAGAAUUCAGUGUGCUAGGAACAGCAGCCAACUGGGUGCAGCUAGUCGCACCCAGCCAGCCCUGCACCAAAGCCAGAGAACAAAGAUGAGGAGGCAAGGAAGCGGAGGAGAUUCUUCAAGUGACUUCCCAGGAGGAAUCUCAGUUCAGCCACACCCAGUCCCUUCCUCCUGGUAAAUAACUCAGCAAACUCCAAAAGGGCUUAACCGAGUCCCUGCAGGAAUGAACCUCUCCCAAGAAGUAGGGGAUUUCUCUCUGGCAGCCGUGGCUGCUGCUGCUGCGACUCUCCAACCCAAGCCUGCCUGAAGGGAGAGCCUGUGCUCUCCAAGUCAUGGCAUGUUUGUCACAGGAACAAACAAACAGCAAACAGCUCAGGAGCUCUUCCCCAGUUCCUGGCAGGAGAGGAGAGGAGCUGCCGUCUCGUUAGCCUGGGGACUUGGCCGCUUAAAGAUGGCAGUAAAUAUUUCUGGUAGAAACCCCACUUUCUGUCUAUAUUUGAUGGUUAAAUUAAAAUUUGAACUGCUGCUUCUAAGACAAACUGAACUAAUUGGAAAUGGACUAUAAAUCAAUGCAGCACAGCAGGCAUUCAUUAAUUUAUGCACCCAGCAUCUACUGAGCACAUACAAUAAGCAAGGCACAGAAUGGGGGAUUCAGAAAUAAAAAUGCAGUCUCAGAGCUCAAGGGAGCUAACAAUGAAUACUAUCACAAUGACAAAAGCACCAGCAUUUGAAUGAGCAGAAUUAUGUGCUGGCAUUACUAAGCGCGUUAGUCCAUUAUCCAAAUAAAUUGUCCCAAUGCUGAAGCAGUCUAUUCUCUAUUUUAUAGAUGGAAAAACCAAGGUUUGACCACAGUCUAACUGCUGUAUUUAACAAAAAGGCACUUGAACAUUGGGCCACUUGACUAUCAAGUUCUCUUUAGGGCCUCCCACAGGUCAAAGUCUGCUGGACUUGAUGUUACAAAGUAACAGUCUAGGGAGCAGUGAGAGGGCUAUGUGAGUAAAUCUUGCUGCCAAGCCUGAGGACCUGAGUUCGAUUCCAUAGAUCCACAUCGUAGGAGAAAACUCACUUCUCCAUGCUGUUCUUUGACCUCUACAUGCAUGCUGUGCACUCACCCUGUACCCUAUACACAAAACGUUUUAAAAUGUAAGGAAGCUGUUGUUGUGAAACAAACAAAUAAAAGCCAAAUUUAGAGUCUCGAUGAGGAUGUAGGAAAGACAUCAAAACUGUUUCACUUUUUAACCUACAUUUAGGACAGAGAUAUUGGUCAGCCACUCAUUAAAUAUAAUGCAUGGUGGAACAAGUGUCAGAGGAGGGGUCACCUUUAAUGGGUAGGGUGAGGCCACCGAGGGAACAGAGACUCCGAAGAACUUGUAAAAGGUUGAGCAGGAAGGAAUGUGGCAGAGUGGGUCCAAGUCCCACCUAUGAGAACAGGAUUUUCAAAGGUGUGUGAGGAGAGUCAGUGAGCUCUGAUGGCUAAAAAGACUGUUGGGAUCAUGAGAGGCCCUGGGUAGUUACAGGAUCCCUACUUCUUUAGCAGGCGGUACACAACGACUGAUGUUCUGGUUGGCACGGUAGAGAGGAUUAUACUUAGAAGAGUUCUCGUGGAGGUCAGGGGCCAUGGUAAACAUUGACAGUUCUUCAUAUGGGUGAGAGGCCAGGACAUCAUCAGCUCAAGCCAAUCUAAACUAAAAGUCAAACCCUGUCUAAAACCCCCAAAUAAAUCCAAGUAUAGCGAUACAUGCCUUUAACUCUAGCACUCACUGCCAGGCAGGGGAAGGAGAAUUCUUGAGUUCAAGGUCAGUCUGGUCUACAUAGUGAGGUCCAAAUCAGCCAGGGGGACAGAGACCUUGUCUCAAACAAACAAAAACAGAAAACAAGCUGGUUUUGCUACGUGAACAUGUUCGUAAUCCCAGUGUUCAGCAGAUGAAGGUAGGUAUAUUUUGAGUUUGAGACUAGUCUGGGAUAUAGAGUGACACUCUGUCUCAAAAACAAACAAAUAAACAAACAAACAAACAGCCAGCAGCAACAACAAAAAGUUAAAACUAGUUGAAAUCCAAGAGUUUUUCAGUAGAUCUCAGGCUCAUUUCAUUUUAACAUUUAUUUACUUUUUUUUUUUUUCCGGGGCUGGGGACUGAACCCAGGACCUUGCGCUUCCUAGGUAAGCGCUCUACCACUGAGCCAAAUCCCCAACCCCUUUAACGUUUAUUUAUUUAGUAUAUGUAUGGGCAUUUUGCCUGUACUACAUAUAUCUAGUGCCUACAGAGGUCAUAGAGGGCAUCUUGGGUCCCCUGGAGCUGUACCACUGUGUGGGUGCUGGAGACCAAAUCUUAGUCCUCUGCAAGGGCAGCAAGAUGCACCAUCUCUACAGCCAGUUCUCUAAUGUUAAUGCGCAUCCCAGCACUGUGGAGCUGAAAAUGCCUGGGCCCCAGCUCAAAGGUUUCUGAGUAAUCUGGUGUGGGGCAGGGCCUGGGUGUCAGUAUUUUAAAACUCUCCCUAAGUGAUCUGAAUACACAACCAUGGUUGAAAACAGUCCUCAGUGUAAGAUUGAGGCAAAGAAAACAGGGAGAAAGUCACUUCAUGUCCCAAACCCCAGCGCUCCUGAACACCACCUGGAACACUUGUUAAAUAACUUCCCAGGCCCGUUGCCUGCUGGCUAGGAUCGGGUAAGUUUGAGACCAGAUCAAGGAAUAUGUCUUUUUAACAACCUAAGAUGUGUAAUUAGAGUUCUAAAGAAGGGCUGUAAAUUAGGGUCAGGUGGUGGCGGUGCGCAUGAAGAACAUGUUUUAAUGCCAAGUAAAAUAAAACUGGAAAAGAUUAAAUUUUCAACACUAUUUAUAUUUGCUUUUAUACACUUCCAGUUUAAAACCCACCAAAACAAUCAAAUUUUAGUAUGGCUUAUUAAAUUGACAACUUUAACCUAAAUUGAUUUUAUUUUGAUUCAUAGUGGAUAAACUCAAUUUAGUUAUUUACAUUUCUUUCUAAGAGGCCCAUGAGAGAGGGAGCAACAGACUUCAGAGGCCUAAAAGGACCACUCAACUUCAGAGUGCUAUUUAAACUGGGUUUAAAUAGCAUCGCACGGUAAAAUGGACACUUCACCAUAAUAUUUUAAAAGCUCUAAGUUGCAUAUUCUUUAACUUUCAGGACCUGCAUCCUUCAACAGGAAAUGUGCAGGAAAGCGAAUACUGUAUCCCCAUCUACACUGAGAAUCAAGAUUAAAGUAAACAGAGUAAUGAUUCGUUUGUUUCUCUUGAAGACAGAAAAAAUGGAACUCAAAAGUAAAGACCUAGGGUAGAGGCAGAAGGAUCAGGAGGUCAAAGCUAGCCUUGGCUACAUAGCAAGUCUGAGUCUAGCCUAAGAUCCAAGACUCUGUCUUUAAAAGUAAAUGACCAUAAGCCCUACAGUAGUCUAUAAUGGAGCUCUACAGCAGUGCACAGUGGCUAUGCACCGCUCUUUGUUAUCCCUGUAACAAUGACCGACAGACCUUCUCAGCACCUCAAAUGAAUUCUUAUGCUUUAAUGCUUGUGAUAACACGUUGGACUAGAAAAUGAUACAGUCAUCUCAGAGACUAAAAGGCACAAAUUGUACUGAGGGUCAUUUAGGAGCAGGCCUGAUAGUCAUAAGGGUACUGGGACAAGAGUCAGAAAGAUCAAAUUUAAACCUGAGUCUACUGCUAGCUACCUAGGAGAACUUAUCUUUAAUUUUUAAUAUCUGUACCUAGGGUUGAAGUCAACUAGUUUUCAUAUUAUGGUCCUUCCACAGAAUCUCACAGUUUUUUAAAGGCACUUUUAAGGUUCUAUGAAGGUUUAUUUCAAUUCUUAUUUAAAACAUACCUUUCCUGCCAGAUGGUGGUGGUGCGGCACACACCUCUGGUCCCAUCACUCAGGAGGCAGAGGCAGGCACAUAUCUGAGUUUGAGGCCUGCCCCAGCUACAGAGUGAGUUCUAGGGCUACCCAGAGAAACCCUGUCUAAAAAAACAAAACAAACCUUUCUUAGCCAGGUUUGGUUGUAUAGCUUUUGAUCCCAGCACUUACGAAGCUGCAGCAGAGGCAGGAAAAACUUUGUGAGUUAGAGGACACCAGGUCUACACAGUGAGCUCCAGGAUAGCCAGGACUAUGUAGAGACACCCCAUCACAAACAAACAAACAAUCACAAUAUUCUUCAAAACCUAUAAAUUCUACAUGGCUGAAAAUACAGCUCAGUGGGAGAGCACUUGCCUAAAUGUGUGUGACUUACUAAGUAAAUUAAUAAAUAAGUCUCGUAUUAGCUUGUUGUAGUGUGGUAGCAACCACAAUCCCAGUGACUCAAAAGGCCAAGGUAGGAAUUCAAGGGUAGCCUGAGCAACAUAGCAAGACUGUGUCACAAAACAGAACAAACAACAGUACAAAGUGCAAAUGCACACUAAGUAGAGUGCAUAGAAAAUUUUAAUCUCUAGACACCAUCAACCAGUGCUCACCCAGCAACUGGUUAUGGACCUUCUCCUGAGCUAGAAAUAUACAUAUUUGAAAUUGUAAAUGUGUCUCAGAUUAGAAAGCUUUUAACUACUCUGUUUCGUUUGUUUGCUUUGCUCUAUGUUUAUGAUACUAGGAUCAAAUCCAGGGCGUCUUGGCUGGAGCGUCAGGCACAUGCUCUACCACUGCAUCAUAUCCCAAGCUAUCUUCCCUUGAAUCCAGGGCCACAAUGGCAUAAAGGACAUGAUUACACAAAAGCUUUGUAAGUAGCUAUAUCUUGUUUCUGUAUGGCCUGGUUAAGAAAGCAAACACAAAGGAGACACUGUUGUAUAAAAUACUUGGACAUCACAAAAUAGAAUUAAUCUAAGUGUCGAGAUAAUAAUUGAAGUAGUAAAAACACAGUCACAUUUGUGACUGUAAAUGCAAUGAUUUUUAAAAAGCUAAUAGAGGAUUACAUUAAACACAAAACUUACAAAGUCAGGUGGAUCAUGACCAGUGAGUACUGCACAAGAAUUUUUAAGCACUAUCAGAUGAUAUUACCCUAACUGAUGGAGACUGUGCUCUCUAUUGGGCUAAGGCCUUUAGGCUACAGACCUUCCGGAGUUAUGUGCAGUAGAUUUAUAUCAGUAAUUGCAUUAGAGCUUCCUCCCCUCCUUUCUUCUCUCCUUCCCUUCCUCCCUCCCUUCCUCCCUCCCUCCUUCCUCUUAUUGAGACAAGAUCCCAUUAAUUAGCCUUGGUUGGACUGAAUCUCUAGCCCACACUGGCCUUGAAUGUGCAGUGAGUCCUCCUACCUCUGCCUCCUGAGAGCAUAAGUAACUAUGACAACGCAGAAUGUAUCCUUGUAAUAAGUUUUGAUGUGGUUGGUCCCCACCCCCACCAACCUAGGUCCUUUCACAGGUGGGCAAACAAUAAGACACUGAGCUGCAUCCUCAUUUCCAAGAAUUCAUCUUGUUUUUACUCAAAUUUCCUGAGUGAUACAUGGCAGGGUGAGAACAGGAAUGAAAUCAAGUAGAUAAAGUAGAAGUUUCUGGUUUCUUUGGAGACUCAGUUGUAGUGUGUGAUGUUUUUCUGGAAGCUGUCUUUUGAAAGGUUUUGCUGAGGCAGACACUUGAGAGGACACAUGAUGUUUGGAAAGAGUAUAAAUAGAACCACACACACAGUAAAUGACACUCUUCACUGAUUCACCUUGUAAUAAUGCUUCACUGGUCUUUACUUAUAACUUCAUAGAGAGAAACGUGCUAAAGAAUUUCUCAUGGUAUUCAGGCUGCUUCUGCAGGACUCAUGCCAAUUUGAUGAAACCUCAGUUUCUUCUGGGACUGAGCCACUGCUAUUGAUUUGUGUUUGGUGUUUUGAACUGGACUGCUGAUAUCCUGACAAUGAAGAUUGGAAUUGCUCUGAGGUAAUACUUCUAAACAGGUCCACAUCCCCCUUGUCCUAUUUACCGCCUUCCUCCCCUACCUUUGGUUGGUGGACUAGAAGGGGAGUUGAAACAUUUAAGAACCCUAAAUGAGGGGUUGGGGAUUUAGCUCAGUGGUAGAGCACUUGCCUAGCAAGCUCAAGGCCCUGGGUUCGGUCCCCAGCUCUGAAAAAAAAAAAAAAAAAGAAGAACCCUAAAUGAAGUGGGUUUAGAAAAAUCUAAGCCUACAAGUAGGAUGUUAGUAUUAUGUUAGUAUUAUUUCUGUCUAUCUGUCUGUCUUUCCUUCUCCUCCUCCUCUUAUUUUAAACUUUUAUUUUAAAGACAGAGUUUCACUCUGUACCCUGGGUGAACUGGAAGUUCUGUGUCACCCACAUGGCUGUAAACUCAGUUUCUUCUUCUGCCACUCAAGGGCUGGGAUUGCAGGUAUGUGUCAUCGUAACUGGCUAUAUUUCUAUCUUAAAGUAAACCCAUAAAAUAUAGGCUUACCAAGUAUAGUUUUAUAAGGCAGGGACACAUAUUGUCAUAGUAAUAACCUUGGGUAAAAUGUUGGUGAUAUAUCAAAACAGGGUUUAGACUCUACAUGAAAAACAAAAUUACUUUCUGAAACUUUCAGGAAAAGUACCUGUCAUGCUAAUUAGUGGGUACAGGUCACUAAGUCAAUCCUAGAGACAGAGGCUUAAAAUGAGAGGCCAAAUCUUUUAAGUUCAGACUCCAUUUUAGAGAACUUGACCUAAGUUUAAACUCAGGUAAACUAAUAGGCUGGUACUUAGCAUUAGCUUCCAAGUUACCCCUCAACAAAACCUGAGCCUAGCUCUAGUCUCUAGGCUGAUCCCCAACAAGACCAGCAUCUCCAGGUCAUUCUUCAAACAAACCUGCGCUCCCAGGUUACAAGCCCACCCGCUGCCUAACGACCACCAGUGCUGAGGGGAGCAAAAAUUAAGUUUAUGAUAUGACUCCCAGCGCCAGUCAAUUAUGUUAAAGGACACAGUAGCUUUCCAAUUAGAUGCGCGCGUACAACACACACACACACACACACACACACACACACACACACACACACACACACACACACUUGCUGCUUACUAUAAAGUCUUGCCCUGAUAGACAUCAUUUGGGACUCCUCCAUCACCAAAACUGUUCUGCAUGAGGGCGGUGCAUUGGGAGGGUCCGAGCUGGCUCAAAAAGAAUAAAGAUCCUGUUGUGAACUGCAUCAGAUCAGCUCCUGUCUGUUUUGGGGAGAUCAUUACCCUGGCACUACAAAAACUGGCAACACAUUUUUCUCCAGUUCUAUGUGGACCAGAAAUCUAAGAUCCAAGUGCUAGAAGAGCUGGGGUUGGCAAAGGAUCUGUCUCUGGUUUGUAGAUUUUUCAGUCCUCACAGCAAAGAGAGGAGGAGGAGUGGGCAGGGAGCUGAUGAAGGCACUGGUCCUACCAUCAGACCAGGGCUACAAGCACAGCCUCAGUUAACUGCACUGCCUGCUAUUAGGCUUCAGCCCCAGAUACAAAGAGCUACAAAUAAAGGACUUCAAGUUAGGGGUUUCAAAGGACACAGUCUACAUAGUCUUUGGGGUAUAUGAUCUUAUAAAAAAAAACAGUAACACUGUUGAGCAACUCAUACAUAAUCGUGUAUGAUACUUUGAUGUUUUGGCUGGCAGUAUAUGCAGCUCAAGGUUAAACCACUUUCCUAGCAUGAGAAUAGUCCUGAUUUCAAUUCUGAGCAUCACCCAGUGAUGAUAAUGAAAGAGGAAGAAGAAGAGGAGGAAGAAGAAGAGGAGGAGGAGGAAGAGGAGGAGGAAGAGGAGGAAGAGGAAGAGGAGGAAGAGGAGGAAGAAGAGGAGGAGGAGGAGGAGAAAACAGACAUGGAUACCUUACUUUUCUAUGUAUAAGUGCAGUUACAGACUCCACAACAAUGAAUAAGAAUUCCUGCCUAAACAGCAGGACAUCCAGGAGGCCCCAGUGGAGUCCAGUAUUGAUGGUGUCACAGAAGCCAGAGGCCUGACCAGACCAAUGACUCGCUGCAGUGAACAUCUGGUAGUACAGACGUGUGGACAGAGGGGUAGACUGCGGGACACACUGCGACACACUGCAGCUUCCACAUGGCAAUCGUUUUCUUUUGGAAGGGGGGUUGCAAGGGCAGAAGGUAGGUAUGAAGGGAUGGGGAGAUGAAUAAAAUUGGGGUGCAUGAUAUAAAUCCAAUUAAAACGUUAAAAGAGAUUCUGCCUAAAUGCUGUGCUACACAGUGUGUACAGAAUGAAUCCGCCACGAAGACAAAGUCAUAGUGAGAGUCAGAAGAGAAACAUGAAAGAAAGGAAGAAAUAAAAUUGGAGAUUUUAUCUCUUACUUGAAACUGAGUUUUAUGUAGUCUAGGCUAGCCUUGAACGACUAUCCUUUUGCCUCUACCUUCUAAGAGGUAACUGACGACGUUUUAGAUCAAGGCACUCAUUCAUUUAAAAGAAAGAUUUAUUCUUUGUAUGUGUGUAUGCAUAUGUCUUUGUGAGUUUGAACAUGUGCAUGCAGACUUGUACAGGCUCAAGGAGGGCAUCAGAUCCUCAGGGCUGCAGUUACAGAUGGUUAUGAACAACCUGACAAGGCUGCCUGGGAACUGAACUCAGUCUUUUGGAAGAGCGGCAACUCUCUUAGAGCCCUGUAUCUUCGCCCCCAGCAUUCAUCUGCACCUUUCCCCACCCACACCUAAUCAGUCCUAGUGUCUUAUCGAACUCCACCUUAAACAGAGCUCCAGCUCUGCAGCCAUGGCAGCCAUGGCUCGCCUGUUGCCUCAGCCUUAGCUGUCAGGCACUGCUUCCCACACUUGCCAGUGACAGUGUUCCACUGGGUCAUAUGCAUUCAGGCAGUCCAGCCAGUUUUACAAACAUGGCCUGUGAAUAUGAGUUGUGCUGCUUAGAAAGCUUUGUAGCCGGCCAGCAAGAUGCAGCAUUGGAUCUCUGGAAUCUACACAGAGGGAAUUUGGCAACAGUGACCUGAUGAGAGAAGUCGGCGGAGCGUGACCACUCAGCCUGUGCUGCAGAACCCUGAUGCGGUUUAGACAACACACGAGCACAAGCUGCCUCACCCCCACUGCUCCUUCUACAGAGCUCCAAAGCCCUUCCCAGACAUGAAUUCAGCCACCGUGUUCCUCACUACUUCUCUGUCCUGUGGCCAUGUGUGAGCUGCUAUUCUAACGUGCAGUAUACCUGCUGUGGGAGAAAGUGAGCAAUGAGCCUAUGUACAAGGAUAUUGAUAAAGGUGAUUUUAAUAUGUAGUGCACUUGGAAUGAGCUUCUGUACACAGAUAUGAAUCAGGAAAGCAGUUGAAUUCAUUGACUGCAUUCUCUGAAGCAACAAAGAAGUGUGAGUGGUCUAGAAUACAGAGACCCAGCCAGCUGGAUGGCUUUGCAGGUAAAAGCAUCUGCCUUCAAGACUGUCAUUAACCCCGGAUCAACGUGCUAUGAAGAGAGAACUGACUCUGGCUAGCUGUCCUCUAGCCUCUAAACGCACUGCAUGGCACUCAUAUGUAUGCACACACACACACACACACACACACACACACACACACACACACACACUCUAAAUCAAUCAAUAAUGUGAUUUAGCAAAACAACCGAAAUCCGAUGCCUGCCACACUGCAGGUGCCUGCUGAGCCUCUUUGUCUCCGUGUUGUCAUCAGUGGCUUAGUUACAAGUGCAUAUCCAGGAUCUUAGGCUUCUAAAAUAAUUCCCGACUGGGCUAUGGAGAGGAGUGCUCUGACUCAGCAGGUAAGGAGCACUGACCUGAAUUUCAUCCCUGAGAUCUAUACAUUGGAAAGAGAGAACUAACUCUUGAACGUUGUCUUCUAGGCCAGGCAUAGUAGUGUACAUCUUUAAUCCCAGUAUUUGACAGGCAGAGGCAGUCAGAUCUUUGUGAGUUUGAGGCCAACCUGGUCUACAUAUGUGGUCCAAGACUUCACAUAGACCUUGUCUCAAAACCAACUAACCAAAACAAAACAAAACAACAACAACAAAAAACAAACAACCCCAAAACCAAAAAACAUUGUUUUUCUGACCCCCCCCCCAUGUGUCAUAUACAAAAAUGUAAAUGUAAAACAACAACAGAUUUUGGAAGAAAUUCAGUAGGGGCUUUGGAAUUGGUUCUAAUGCUUCGUCUUAAUUCGGCUCCCAAAAGCCACACUUCCAGACCUGAGGGUCCCUUCUCCGAGCUGGCUUCAAUUGGUAAUAAAGAAUUGCUGUAUAGCCAAUGACUGAGCAAGGAGAUGAAGGUAGGACUUUUAGAUUUUGAGGACAAGGAACCUAGGGAGAGGCAAGAAGAGGAGAACUGCCAAGACUCGGAGGCAGAGGGAUUUAAGAGCAAUAAGAGAGAAAUCAUCCAACAAUGUAGGUGGAAAGGGAAAAGCAGCCUUUCCCCCAUGGGGUGGGGGAGGGGGCUGCCCGGAUGCUAACAGGGCAGCAGCAUAGAUAAAAUAGAAAUUUAGAAGGUAUUAAGCCAGGAAUACUGGAGGGGAAUGUUUACUAGU